rnacentral:rRNA from 1 species
UUUCAAAAACAUUUUCUUUUGAUUUUUUAAAAGGUAUAACCUGCUCAAUGAAAAUUUAAAUAGCUGCAGUAAUUUAACUGUACAAAGGUAGCAUAAUAAUUAGUCUUUUAAUUGAGGUCUAGAAUGAAUGGUUUAACAAAAUAUAAACUUUAUUAUUUUAAUUUAAUUUAAUUUAAUUUUUUAGUUAAAAAGCUAAAAUAAUUAAAUGGGACGAUAAGACCCUAUAGAUCUUUAAUUUUUUUUUUAAUAGAAGUUUCUUAGUUUUAUUAAAUUUUAAUUUAAUUAAAAUUUUAAUCGGGGUGAUUUAAAAAAUUUAAAACUUUUUAAUAUUUUUUCAUAUAUUUAUGUUUAUUUGAUCUUAAAAUUUAGAUUUUUAGAUUAAGAUACCUUAGGGAUAACAGCGUAAUAAAUUUGAAUAGUUCAUAUUGUUAAAUUUGUUUACGACCUCGAUGUUGAAUUAAUCUUCAAAAUUUGAACGUAGAAAUUGAAG